UACGUAGGGUGCGAGCGUUGUCCGGAAUUAUUGGGCGUAAAGAGCUUGUAGGCGGCCAGGUAGGUCUGGUGUGAAGACUCGAGGCUUAACCUCGAGAUGUCAUCGGAAACCAUCUGGCUAGAGUCCGGAAGAGGAGAGUGGAAUUCCUGGUGUAGCGGUGAAAUGCGCAGAUAUCAGGAAGAACACCAAUGGCGAAAGCAGCUCUCUGGGACGGUACUGACGCUGAGACGCGAAAGCGUGGGGAGCGAACAGG
rnacentral:rRNA from 1 species